rnacentral:rRNA from 1 species
GACAGAGGGUGCAAACGUUGCUCGGAAUUACUGGGCGUAAAGCGCAUGUAGGCGGUUCCGUAAGUCGGAUGUGAAAGCCCUCGGCUUAACCGAGGAAGUGCAUUCGAUACUGCAGAACUAGAGUACCGGAGAGGGUCGUGGAAUUCCUGGUGUAGAGGUGAAAUUCGUAGAUAUCAGGAGGAACACCGGCGGCGAAGGCGGCUCUCUGGACGGUGACUGACGCUGAGACGCGAAAGCGUGGGGAGCAAACAGG